GACGUAGGGCGCGAGCGUUGUCCGGAUUUAUUGGGCGUAAAGAGCCCGUAGGCGGUUUGUCGCGUCGUCCGUGAAAACUCACAGCUUAACUGUGAGCUUGCGGUCGAUACGGGCAGGCUAGAGUUCGGGUAGGGGAGACUGGAAUUCCUGGUGUAGCGGUGAAAUGCGCAGAUAUCAGGAGGAACACCGGUGGCGAAGGCGGGUCUCUGGGCCGAUACUGACGCUGAGGAGCGAAAGCGUGGGGAGCGAACAGG
rnacentral:rRNA from 1 species